CCUACGGGAGGCAGCAGUGAGGAAUAUUGGUCAAUGGACGCAGGGCUGAACCAGCCAAGUCGCGUGAGGGAUGACGGACCUCUGGAUUGUAAGCCUCUUUUGUCAGGGAGCAAAGGGCGCCACGUGUGGCGUUUUGCGAGUACCUGAAGAAAAAGCAUCGGCUAACUCCGUGCCAGCAGCCGCGGUAAUACGGAGGAUUCAAGCGUUAUCCGGAUUUAUUGGGUUUAACGGGUGCGUAGGAGGUCCGUUAAGUCAGCGGGAAAAUUGCGGGGCUCAACCCCGUCGAGCCGUUGAAACUGGCAGACUUGAGUUGGCGAGAAGUACGCGGAAUGCGUGGUGUAGCGGUGAAAUGCAUAGAUAUCGCGCAGAACUCCGAUGGCGAAGGCAGCGUACCGGCGCCAGACUGACGCUGAGGCACGAAAGCGUGGGGAUCGAACAGGAUUAGAUACCCGUGUAGUC
rnacentral:rRNA from 1 species